rnacentral:rRNA from 1 species
AAUGGGAAGUACAACGAGUCGCGAAGUCGCGAGGCUAAGCUAAUCUCUUAAAGCUUCUCUCAGUUCGGAUUGCAGGCUGCAACUCGCCUGCAUGAAGCCGGAAUCGCUAGUAAUCGCGGAUCAGCACGCCGCGGUGAAUACGUUCCCGGGCCUUGUACACACCGCCCGUCACACCACGAGAGUUUGUAACACCCGAAGUCGGUGAGGUAACCUUUUGGAGCCAGCCGCCUAAGGUGGGAUAGAUGAUUGGGGUGAAGUCGUAACAAG